UGCAUAGAAGAACCUGACUAAUAGUAAGUGGAAAGAGAAUCACCUGAGGAGAGAUAUAUGAUACGGAGAUUCUUACAUGCCACGCUUACUUUAUUUUCCAAAUUCUGCAAGAAGACCAAACAAUCUCAGAGCUCUCAGGGCUUGCCAUUUGAGUCUUAGGGUACUGGAGGAAGAUUCGGGGGGAAGGCGUUAUUUGCGUUCGUGGUGAUAUUGUGAAAGUGAGUUAUUAAAUCUCAUUCUGUAUCAUCGACUGGACCAUUUCAAACUGUGUUUUGAAGAGUGUCGUUUUUGCUCUGUUUACUACCUUUCCAGGUUUAUCAAGAAAAGUGCACACAGAAACAGAGGAUGCUCCUUUUGAUUUCAAGUGCUUAAUGACUCUAGAUAAGUGACAUUGAGGGGUGAGAGGAGGAAAAAAGAGGAAUACCAAGAUGACAUGACGAGCGUUGAUGUCGACCUUCAAAUCCAAGGAAAUGGUGGGUGCGCCAUUGGAUUCUGUUCCUGAACCGUAGGAUUCAGCUCGGACGAAAUCAACGGAUACUGAGAAGUCGAUUUUGCGAACAAAAUCUGCCAAGAAGAGGAAGGCACCCGUGGCAACACCCACGACUAUGGGCGCUCGAGAACAACCAGCAAAGUCAGCGGAAACUUCGGCGGCAAGCUCCGAGACACGGCGAGAAAUUUGGUCCUCGCUCCACAGAAUUGUCUCAAUGUGGGAAUGCAUGGUCGUGUUCAUUAGAGAGGGUUUAUGGGAUGUUUUACAACUGCUAGGGUUUUUCAGAUUCUCUACCGUUUCCUCUUUCUAUUUGAAGAAAGUUAGAUAUCUUUUUCAA